UGAAACAAGCAGCGAUGUUGGACUCGGUUCGGUUCGGAAAGAAGUUGUUUGUGUAGAAGAGGAUGAUAAUGUGCACCGGAGUACCAAUUCAGCCAUGAGAUGCAUGGAAAUGCUUUACAGACAUGUAGGAGUUCUGGAACUGGUUUGAUGAUAGGACAUGGGAUGUCUUUCACAACAUAGCAGUUCAGCUAUAGGCAUAACAGAGCAUUCACAAUCACAGGUGAUACAUCAAGAGCAAGCAGUUAUUUAUCGCAGAAUACACCAAACAUUAGUUCCACUGAAGAAGCAGAAAUUGAAGAACAAAGGUAGCGAUAACCAAUGGGUUCUACCUGCAUCCCGGUCCGGAG